rfam:Caenorhabditis briggsae complete genome, chrII
GCAGUGGUGGCCGAGAGGUUAAGGUGUUGGAUUCCCGAUCCAAUUGNGGUAACACAGCGUGGAUUNGAAUCCCAUCCACUGCA